rnacentral:lncRNA from 1 species
CAAAAACUGGAGAGAAACUGCACCACUGUGAUGGCAAUGUAGGACAAAGCAGAAGCGCAGCAAAGAGAUAAGGAUAUAAUUACUGCAGACAACCUUGGAGAAAAAUGGCAUCUAAGAACAAUUGUAAGGACCUUUCUGUCCUUGAAUUGCUAACACUCUGCUAGUAAUGGAAGCCUGAGAAACCUUGAGACUACCAGCUUCUUGAAUCAGAGCUGCACUGAGUGACAUUUUCAACAUCGCUGAACAUGCCAGCAAAUCACAGAAUAACAGAAUCAUAGAAUGGCCUGGGUUGGAAGGGACCUCAAGGAUCACGAAUCUCCCACCCCCCUGCCAGGCAGGGCCACCAACCUCCCCAUUUACUAGACCAGGUUGCCCAGGGCCCCAUCCAACCUAGCCUUCAACACCUCCAGGAACGGGGCAUCCACAACCUCUCUGGGCAGCCUGUUCCAGCAUCUCACCACUCUCCUGGGUGCGAGUCCAUUGGUCCCCCUGCCCCAUUGUUCACAGAACCAGGCCAAACCAGACCAUCCAUAAAUUGUUGACACUGUCUGAAAUGAGAUUGCUCUUCUUUUAAGUCUAAGCCUGGGAAGAAGGAGUCCAAUUACAAUGAGUUGAUUCACCUCCAGAUACAAUGAGAAUGGACUAGUUUAUCAGAUAACACUGCAAUUACUGAACUGUAGUGGUCCUGAACAGUAUAUCAGCAACACAAUACUGGGUUUCAGAAUCCAGUACUAAUUACAGCUUUCUAUUCUGGAUUCAAAUAAGUAAUAAAUAAAAUAUUUCCUUGCCAUUUUUGAGAUAACUUUAUACAUGUGAUCUUAUAACAUUUUUUUACCUAUUUACUCAUGAGUAGGAUUUGGUUAAUAUGGAAUUUAUACUGUUUAACUGCUUUAAUAAGUGCACUAGGCCAACAGAUGUGAAGUAACUAACAAAUAAGAUUACAUGAUAAAAAAUGGAGUGCAUUCUUUUAAAUUUAGAUGAUUGCAGCAUAAUAGAAUGUGUUCUGUUGGAAAGGACCUUAAAGGUCAUGUAGUUCCAGUUCUCCUUCCAUGGGCAUAUUUGCCACCCAAUAGAUCAGAUUGCCUAAGGCCCCAUCCAACCAGGGGUGGAACAUUCACAGCUUCUCUGGUCAACCUGUUUCAGUGCCUCACUACCCUCUGAGUAAAGAACUUCCUCCUAAUAUCUAAACUAAAUCUCCUUUCUUAGUUU